AUCUGUAAAAGCAAAAUUAAUAGCAGCACUGCUUAUUUAUGAAAUAUCGGGCAUAUUUUUUCUUUUCUUUUUCUUUCUUUCUUUUCUUUUUUUUUUUUUUUUUUUUGCCAUACCCAUGGCAUGUGGAGUUUCCCGGGCCAGGGAUCGAACUCCCGUCAUAGCACUGACACUGGAUCCUUAACCACUAGGCCUCCCCGGAAUUCUGAAUCAAGAAUAAUUUUUAUCACAUAGGCUAAAUUAUUUUGGGAGUGGGUUAUAUAAUUUGAAAGUAAUUGAAACUUAGCACAUGAUAGGCUCAAUGAAUAUGGGUGAACUUAACCAAAUGUCUUUGAGCUCCUAGAAAUGAUGGACAGAGACGGUGCAAUGCAGCAUUAUUUAAGCUGUGUGUGGUGACCAAUUUAAUUUAAGAAAUGAAAUGGGGGAGUUCCUGUUGUGGCUCAUUGAAAACGAAUCUGACUAGCAUCCACGAGGACACAGGUUUGAUCUUUGGCCUCGAUAGUAGAUUAGGGAUCUGGCAUUGCUGUGAGCUGUGGUGUAGGUGGCAGACUCCGCUUGGAUCCUGAUGCGGAUUGCUGUAGCUGUGGUGUAGGCCAGCGGCUACAGCUCUGAUUCGGAUUCGACCCCUAGCCUGGGAAUCUCCAUAUGCCGCAGGCAUGGCCCUAAAAAGACAAAAGAUGCCCACAAAAAAGAAAUGGAAUGAAAUGGAAUGGGAAAUACCAGAGUAUGUGGUAUGUAUUAAGGGCAAAGCAUUGAGCUAUAAUAUUUGCUUCCCAUAUGUAUAUAAGCAUACGGAGUCACAAUGAAUUUUUUUUCUAAUAAGGGCUGUGGUGAGGAAUAUUUAAAAGCCAGUUGUUUAGAGGAAAUUCAACUAUCAGUUGGAUAGCUGAAUCCUGUUGUUGUUGAUGAUGACAACAGCUAAAAUUGGAAUGGUUACCAUGUACCAGUGCUUUUAUUUUUUUUACACACAUCACAUUUUAUUUGGAAAACACAUAUAAUGUAGCUACAUAACAAAGAAUAAAAUGUAAGGAUUUCCUACCAUUGUUCUCACAAAUACCCACCAAGAUGGGCACAUAAUACUAAUGGUCUCUGUUUCAGAGAGGUUGAUGUGCCUUCCCAGGGUCAUGGAGCUGCCGCAGAAGUGGAGCUGCGAUGUGAACAAAGAUGAUCUGUCUCCAGGGUCAGUGGACUAGAAUCACCAUGUUUUCAUUUAAGACACCUUGAACUAAGCAGUUCUCAACCUUUUGAUCAUUGCAGAGUGGCUCUGCCCUCGGAGGACAGCCCACAGAAGCAAAAGAUGAAGCUAGCCUUGAUCCCAUCUAGUUCUGGCCCUUUGGUUUCAUGGCAGCCAUGCAUUAUGGUAGGAAGCCCUGGCUUUAGAAUAGAGGCUUGAAUUGACUGUGAUAUCAAACAGUUGCUAACCUUUGUGAGUCUUGGCUUCCUCCUCUAUUUUCUUCAUCCUUUUCCAUAGAGCUGUUGUCCCCUGAAUAUAUGUGCUUAUUUAUUUAUUUUGGCCACAUCCAUGGCGUGGAAGUUCCCGGCACAGGCGUUGAACCCAGGCCACAGCAGUGACAAUGCCAGACCCUUUAAUUGCUAGGCAACCAGGGCACUCUUGAACCCAUGCUCUUCAAAGCACCUACUCCGUGCCAGUUGCUGUUCUAAGCAUUUCUCCUGUUCGGGUGCAGUGAAGUCUCACAGAACCCUACGUGGUAGAUCCUGUUAGCAUCCCUCUUUUACUAGGGUCAAAACUGAAGGCUUAAAAGGACCAGGAACUUGCCCAGACUCACGUAGCUAUUAAGGGACAUUGCUGUGAGUUCAGCCCAUGUAGACCUUCUCCAGAGCAGUGGUUUUAACCAUGACGCUAAAGAUCCUCCACAAAUGCUAAAGAAAUCCUUCUUAAGUUUUCCCCAUUCAACUCUUUGGACAUCUUUCUGAGUCCUUUUUGAUUGGUCUGAAAGUUCCUUCUAGCUAAUAGAAACAUCCGUUCAGUAGUGUCAGCCAUCAGCCUUCUCCCCUCUAACUCCAUUUGUGGGAUGAAGGAUGGGCUUUCCCCUCCUAGGCCUGUAAAGGUUAUGCCAGCUUUCUCCUGAGCUCAGAGGAGCAGUUUCUCCAAAGUUCCUCUCUUCCUGAACCCAUUUCUUCAAGUCCUCAGGCUUCCUGGCAAGAAUUAACUUUUUUGUUAGUUUAUUCAUUAUUUGAAGUUGCAAAUAUUAACUCUACAGCCUCUCCAACCAUCGGCUCCAUUUCCUCUCUCUUGUCUCUUCCACUAUUUUAUGCAACUUAAAUUCGACUUAAAUUCUUUAAAAAGGACUGUUUUUAAAUGACUCAUGUAGUAAUUUUCCAUAUGCUCUUUUAACACAUCAUGUUUAAAAUGAAGACCGUAACAGGCUGCAAGUAACUGAAAGUGUAUUGAAACAUAUUUCUGAGUGUUGACAUUCAGAGAGUCUGGCAAUUUUUUUUUUUAAUAGUCACACCUGCAGCCUAUGGAAGUUCCUAGGCUAGGGGUUGAAUCGUUGCUACAGCUGCCAGCCUAUGCCACAGCCACAGCAGUGCCAGAUCCGAGCUGCAUCUGUGACCUGCACCGUAGCUUGCAGCAACGUUGGAAUCUUAACCCACUGACGAAGGCCAGGGAUCAAACCUGCCUCCUCACAGAGACAAUGUUGGGUUCUUUCCCCACUGAGUCACAGUGGGAAUGCCAUCGUCUGGUAAUAUUUUCCUAUCAGUCAUUUGAGGAAAACUGGGGGCUUUGAACCAAUGUUGGAAUUAUUUUUCCUCCCAGUAGAGAUGCAAGCUGAGUCCUAGAGCUUAGGAGUAGCCUCCAGAUGUCUUCUUUCUGGCUUGGCCUUUCAGAUAGAGACAAGGAAGCAAAGAAAAUGAGCAGUUACAAAAUGUUUCCCUUCUAACCCCUCCAGCCUGAUUUAGUACAGAAUAGGUAGCCUUAUUUUUUAUUAUAACAAAUUAUCUGUAAUAGCAAUGGAGAACAGCUGCUUGCUAACCUCCUCCCAUAUUGCUUUUUAUACUUUAAUUCCAAUUUUAGGUCACUUCUUCCUAAGGUCAAAUCCUUUGAGUUUCCCUUGGCCAAGCUCUCAAUUCUCAGCUUUUAUUUGUCUUUACAGCAUUUUGCCCACAUCCAGAUUUUCAACCUGUUACAGCCUAUUAAUGUUUAAUCCACAGUACAGAUACUGCUGCUGGAUUAAGGAUAAGAUAGCUGUCACCUCUAUGGGAAUGAUUAUAGAAAGCAACAGGAAGAACAUGAAAAAGAAAAAAAACUAAACAAAGC
rnacentral:lncRNA from 1 species